CCUUAGUGUCUUCUCAAUGUAAUUAGAGAACUAUAGUGUAAAAAUUAAAUCAUUUGUGAGGCAUGGGAGUGAGUGAGUAACCUUUGCUCUGGUCUGAAAAUAGGUUACAACAGACCUCCUGGAAGAGUUGAUGCCAGAGUUGAAUUUGGAAGGUUAUUAACGGCAUGGCACCCAAAAGUUCCUGGGAGCAACAGGAAUGAUGCAUCACUUUUAGUCAUCUCAGGAUGAACUAUGUGUAUAAAUACAUUAGUCAAGAUUAAAGGAAAGACAAUAUCAUCUUCUAAGAAGGAGGGCUGUUACUCAAAUUGAAGACUCCAUGGAGCCAAAUUUUCUAGACAGGAAAGACCAUUGAACCAAGGUUAGGGUUAUUGCAUAGGAG
ensembl:lncRNA